UACGUAGGGGGCAAGCGUUGUCCGGAAUCAUUGGGCGUAAAGCGCGCGUAGGCGGCUAGAUCAGUCUGCUGUAAAAGUCAAAGGCUCAACCUUUGAAAGCCGGUGGAUACUGUCUAGCUAGAGUCCGGAAGAGGCGACUGGAAUUCCUGGUGUAGCGGUGAAAUGCGCAGAUAUCAGGAGGAACACCGGUGGCGAAGGCGGGUCUCUGGGCCGAUACUGACGCUGAGACGCGAAAGCGUGGGGAGCGAACAGG
rnacentral:rRNA from 1 species